rnacentral:rRNA from 1 species
GACGAACGCUGGCGGCGUGCUUGACACAUGCAAGUCGAACGGAAAGGCCCUGCUUUUGUGGGGUGCUCGAGUGGCGAACGGGUGAGUAACACGUGAGUAACCUGCCCUUGACUUUGGGAUAACUUCAGGAAACUGGGGCUAAUACCGGAUAGGAGCUCCUGCUGCAUGGUGGGGGUUGGAAAGUUUCGGCGGUUGGGGAUGGACUCGCGGCUUAUCAGCUUGUUGGUGGGGUAGUGGCUUACCAAGGCUUUGACGGGUAGCCGGCCUGAGAGGGUGACCGGCCACGUUGGGACUGAGGUACGGCCCAGACUCCUACGGGAGGCAGCAGUGGGGAAUAGUGCACAAUGGGCGGAAGCCUGAUGCAGCAACGCCGCGUGCGGGAUGACGGCCUUCGGGUUGUAAACCGCUUUCGCCUGUGACGAAGCGUGAGUGACGGUAAUGGGUAAAGAAGCACCGGCUAACUACGUG